rnacentral:ncRNA from 1 species
CACCGCCCGUCACACAAUGGGAGCUGGCCAUGCCCAAAGUCGUUACCUUAACCGCAAGGAGGGGGAUGCCGAAGGCAGGGCUAGUGACUAGAGUGAAGUCGUAAAAAGGUAUCCGUACUGGAAGGUGCGGCUG